rnacentral:rRNA from 1 species
AGCAGCCGCGGUAAUUCCAGCUCCAAUAGCGUAUAUUAAAGUUGCUGCAGUUAAAAAGCUCGUAGUUGAAUUUCGGGAUCAAUAUGUUGGUCGUGCCUUGGUACGUACUAGCUCAUUGGUUUCUCCCUUCUGACGAACCAUGAUGUCAUUAAUUUGAUGUCAUGGGGAAUCAGGACUGUUACUUUGAAAAA